AUGUACGCCGGCAGUCCACUCUGCGAGUCAGCGAGCGCGCACACACACUCGCACUCGAUCGGCUCUCCACUUUUCCCCACCCGAAACCCUCGCGUCCGCCGCCGCACCAUGCCGCCGCCGCCGCCGGUGCUGCUGGACGAGCUCAUCGAGGAGGUGCUCCUCCGGAUCCCCCCCGACGAGCCCGCCUGCCUCUUCCGCGCCUCCGCCGUCUGCAAGCCCUGGCGCCGCAUCCUCGCCGGCCGGCGCUUUCGCCGCCGCUACCGCGAGUUCCACGGAACACCUCCCAUCCUGGGACUCUUCCAUCAGCGGGUCCGCUUCGUCCCCACCUCCGCCCUCCUCCCCGCCCAUUCCGGCCUCCCCGACUGGUUUGCCAUGGACUGCCGCCACGGCCGCGCCCUCUUCGCCCACAUCGGCGACGACGAGAAGACCCUUGACCUCAUCGUAUUGGACCCUGUGACGGGCCACCAGCGCCGCGUGCCCUGGCCCCAUGACGACUGGGCCAAGUGCAGUGCGGCGGUGCUCUGCGCCGCACAAGGCUGCCACCACCACAGUUGCCAAGACGGCCAUUUCUUUGUGGCCUUCGUCGUGACCAAGAAGAAAAAAGUCUCAUUGGGCUGGCUCUACUCAUCCGAGACGCGCAUGUGGAGCAACCUCAAUUCUCUUCAUCACUCCAAUGUCAAAUUUACCAAUGACUUUGGUGAGUCUAGCGUCCUUCUGGGCGAUGCUCUCUACUUUAACGGUGGUCGCAUCAUGGAGUGCCAACUUGGUACACUCCGCCUGUCAUCGUUCGAGAAGCCGAUCGAUCGUUAUGGGAUUCUCAUGAUAGCGGAGGACGGUGGGCUGGGAUUCGCUGCUGUGGUGGAUGUUACAAAUCUAACCCUUUGGUCGAGGGAGGCCGGACCCGAGGGAGCCAUGGGAUGGACACCACUCAGGGUGAUUGAUCUGAAGAUGCUACUCCCUGAUGUCGACCUCUCCAUCAAAAGUUUCAAAACAACUGAAUAUAUCCCAACAUUUGGAGGUGCGGUUUAUGAGUUUCCCUGUCCACGGGUGAGUGGCUUCGCGGAGGGCACACAUGUCAUUUUUGUUACCACAAGUGUUGGUUCCUACAUGGUCGAUCUCAAGACUGGGCGAGCCAGCAAGGUGUCUGAUCCUGGCAGACUAUUCUUUCCCUUCAUGAGCUUCUACAUCCCAGCAAUGGAAGCAGCUUCUACGGGCGAAGGGCAAUGA
rnacentral:rRNA from 1 species